GAAUUCAACUCCUACGGGAGGCAGCAGUGGGGAAUAUUGCACAAUGGGCGCAAGCCUGAUGCAGCGACGCCGCGUGAGGGAUGACGGCCUUCGGGUUGUAAACCUCUUUCAGUAGGGAAGAAGCGAAAGUGACGGUACCUGCAGAAGAAGCGCCGGCUAACUACGUGCCAGCAGCCGCGGUAAUACGUAGGGCGCGAGCGUUAUCCGGAAUUAUUGGGCGUAAAGAGCUCGUAGGCGGUUUGUCGCGUCUGCCGUGAAAGUCCGGGGCUUAACCCCGGAUCUGCGGUGGGUACGGGCAGACUAGAGUGCAGUAGGGGAGACUGGAAUUCCUGGUGUAGCGGUGAAAUGCGCAGAUAUCAGGAGGAACACCGAUGGCGAAGGCAGGUCUCUGGGCUGUAACUGACGCUGAGGAGCGAAAGCAUGGGGAGCGAACAGGAUUAGAAACCCUAGUAGUCCAGGCGUU
rnacentral:rRNA from 1 species